rnacentral:ncRNA from 19 species
AGCAGAGUAGAAGUAUGUGCGUUAAGUGCCGGUUGGACGGGGAGUUGCCAGCAGGACGAAAAGUGAAUGCUUGCGGUACAUAUUUCGCAUCCCGCUGCU